GAGAAAAAGAUUGUAGUUAAUACCUGCAAUCCGUGAUGUUACUUACAGAAUAAGGACCGGCUAAUUCCGUGCCAGCAGCCGCGGUAAUACGGAAGGUCCAAGCGUUAAUCGGAAUUACUGGGCGUAAAGCGCGCGUAGGUGGUUUUUUAAGUUGGAUGUGAAAGCCCUGGGCUCAACCUAGGAACUGCAUCCAAAACUAGAUGACUAGAGUACGAAAGAGGGAAGUAGAAUUCACAGUGUAGCGGUGGAAUGCGUAGAUAUUGUGAAGAAUACCAAUGGCGAAGGCAGCUUCCUGGUUCUGUACUGACACUGAGGUGCGAAAGCGUGGGUAGCGAACAGGAUUAGAUACCCUGGUAGUCCACGCCGUAAACGAUGACAACUAGCUGUUGGGAGACAAGAUCUCUCAGUGGCGCAGCUAACGCUUUAAGUUGUCCGCCUGGGGAGUACGGCCGCAAGGUUAAAACUCAAAUGAAUUGACGGGGACCCGCACAAGCGGUGGAGCAUGUGGUUUAAUUCGAUGCAACGCGAAAAACCUUACCUACUCUUGACAUACUUGGAAGCUCUUGUAAUGAGAGUGUGCUUUUAGAGCCAAGAUACAGGUGCUGCAUGGCUGUCGUCAGCUCGUGUCGUGAGAUGUUGGGUUAAGUCCCAUAACGAGCGCAACCCUUACCCUUAUUUGCCAGCGGUUCGGCCGGGAACUAUAAGGGGACUGCCGGUGACAAACCGGAGGAAGGUGAGGACGACGUCAAGUCAUCAUGGCCCUUACGAGUAGGGCUACA
rnacentral:rRNA from 1 species